rnacentral:SRP_RNA from 1 species
AAGGAAUAAAUGUUCUAAAUGCAUGAGCCGGUUUUCUUCCGGCCCUGUCGGUCGGCGUAAUUGGGUCCUGCGCGGCAGAUGUCUGUGAACCCCGCCAGAUCUUUGCGGAAGCAACGGUAAAUGGACCUCUCUGGGUGCCGUAGGGUCGCCUGAUUACGCUGACCGGCAGGGCCGGGCGAAAAUCGGUUUUUGUUGUCCUU